rnacentral:rRNA from 1 species
UACAGAGGUGGCAAGCGUUGUUCGGAAUUACUGGGCGUAAAGGGCGCGUAGGCGGUUCGUUAAGUCCUGUGUGAAAUCCCCCGGCUCAACUGGGGAACUGCACAGGAAACUAGCGGGCUUGAGUUCGGGAGAGGGAAGCGGAAUUCCGGGUGUAGCGGUGAAAUGCGUAGAUAUCUGGAGGAAUACCGGUGGCGAAGGCGGCAUCCUGGACCGACAUUGACGCUGAGGAGCGAAAGCCAGGGGAGCAAACGGG